rnacentral:tRNA from 1 species
GGGCUUGUAGCUCAGUGGACUAGAGCACAUGGCUACGAACCAUGGGGUCGGAGGUUCGAAUCCUCCCAUGCUCG